rnacentral:rRNA from 1 species
UACGGGGGGGGCAAGCGUUGUUCGGAAUUACUGGGCGUAAAGGGCUGGUAGGCGGCCAACUAAGUCGGAUGUGAAAUCCCCAGGCUUAACCUGGGAACUGCAUCCGAUACUGGUCGGCUUGAAUCCGGGAGAGGGAUGCAGAAUUCCAGGUGUAGCGGUGAAAUGCGUAGAUAUCUGGAAGAACACCAGUGGCGAAGGCGACUUACUGGACACAUAUUGACGCUGAGGUGCGAAAGCGUGGGGAGCAAACAGG